GGAACGAACGCUGGCGGCAGGCUUAACACAUGCAAGUCGAACGCCCCGCAAGGGGGAGUGGCAGACGGGUGAGUAACGCGUGGGAAUCUACCUAGUUCUACGGAACAACAGUUGGAAACGACUGCUAAUACCGUAUACGCCCUACGGGGGAAAGAUUUAUCGGAAUUAGAUGAGCCCGCGUAAGAUUAGCUAGUUGGUGGGGUAAUGGCCUACCAAGGCGACGAUCUUUAGCUGGUCUGAGAGGAUGAUCAGCCACACUGGGACUGAGACACGGCCAGACUCCUACGGGAGGCAGCAGUGGGGAAUAUUGGACAAGUGGGCGCAGCCUGAUCCAGCCAUGCCGCGUGAGUGAUGGAAGGCCUAGGUUGUAAGCUCUUCAGUGGGAAGUAUAAUGACGGUACCACAGAAGAACGCCCGGACUAACUUCGUGACCGAGCACGCCGCGU
rnacentral:rRNA from 1 species